UAUUGGUUGAUGAUGUUAAUUAAAACAGACAAGUUUUAGUUAAUUAUUUUAAAAGAACCAUACUAUAACUAUAGUUGAUCUUCUACCAUUUGAUGGACGCAUUUUAGCCUAUGUUGCUCGGACUCAGGUGUGGGUUUUUAGGAUUCGGGGGUAUGGAUCCGCAUGCAGAUAUGGGUGCUGAGCCAAGAAACGUAUAUUACGAUAUAUAAAGUAUAUGUUUCGAUUAAUUAAUAUUGAACUAAAACUAGUAAAAUUUACUUAUUUAUAAACACCUAAGAUUUUAUUCAUAAGAUAUCUCGUGUAAUAGCAAAGCAUUCUCAUACUUUAUCUAUGACAUAUAAACCAAAAAAAUAAACCGAACUUCCAAUCAAUCUAUACUUCUC